rnacentral:rRNA from 1 species
AGAAUCAACGCUGGCGGCGUGCCUAACACAUGCAAGUCGCACGAGAAAGGGUAGCAAUACCUGAGUACAGUGGCGCACGGGUGAGUAACACGUGAAUAAUCUACCUCCGAGUGGGGAAUAACUGAGAGAAAUCUUAGCUAAUACCGCAUAAUACCCACGGGUCAAAGCAGCAAUGCGCUUGGAGAGGAGUUCGCGGCAGAUUAGUUAGUUGGCGGGGUAAUGGCCACCAAGACGAUGAUCUGUAUCCGGCCUGAGAGGGCGCACGGACACACUGGAACUGAAACACGGUCCAGACUCCUACGGGAGGCAGCAGUGGGGAAUUUUGCGCAAUGGGGAAACCCUGACGCAGCAACGCCGCGUGGAGGAUGAAGCCCCUUGGGGUGUAAACUCCUUUCGAUCGGGAAGAUAAUGACGGUACCGAUAUAAGAAGCCCCGGCUAACUUCGCGCCAGCAGCCGC